GCGAGUAUCGUCUUCUUUCUUAGUUUCUGCGAACUGUAAUUUGCCUCGAACGAGUCCAGAAAAUGGCGCAAAGGACGAAGAAUAUGAACAUUUGGUACUUAUUCAUGAUGCUAAAUUUCAAUCUGCUGCUUCCUUUUUCAUCUGGAGAAUCAAAUGAUGUCUGCGUUUCAAAAGGUGGUCGGUUCGCACCCUUCGCAAUGGAAGGAAAACCUCCAAAAAAGGUUAGCAAAGCACAAGAUUUGACGCUUUGUCGAGUCUUCAGAAAGAAGACUUGCUGUGGUGUAGCUCAAACAUACCCAGCUUUGCUUUCUGUUAGGAGGCUGGCUUCAACAGGAGAAGGCAACCAAGAAUGCUUGCAAUUGUGGGAACUUCUGGAGUGCUCGAUUUGUGAUCCACUAGUUGGCAUUCAACCCGGACCUCCUCUGAUAUGUCCCUCUUUCUGCGACAGAGUCUUCAACGCUUGCUCUGAUGCUUACUUUUCUGUUGAUGCUAAAACACAGGUUCUAGCACCGUGCGGAGUGAAUGACUUUGUGUGUGGCAGGGCUUCUGAAUGGGUUUCGAAUGGGACGCAGCUUUGCAGUGCUGCAGGUUUUUCAGUUAAGAUUCCGAACGACGAAGCCUCUUGCUAUGGUAGUAAAGCCAGACUAGACUCCGUUGCUAAUUCGUGGAAGUCUUCACCGUCUGUAGUGGUUUCUCAAAGAACAGGGCACUUGGGUGUUUUGGAGGACUUCCAGCAAUGGGUGAAAGAAAUGAGUUUCCGUGAACAGGUUUCUUGGCUGAUCAGUUCCAUGGUGCUUUCAGCUGGGCUUCUCCUUGCAAGCAAAAGGAAAAGUCAUAUCCAGCGCCAGAAAUACGAUGCUAUUCGACGAGCAACGAAGAAAAUGGAAGUAAAUAUGAGUCAGAAUUCUCUUGGCACUCAAGGAAUCAGGAAAAGAAGUAGAAGAUGACUGUAACCUCACAUCUAAAGAAAUUUUGUUUGUCGAUUUUGCGAGGUUGCUCGUUUGCUCGUCACUUCAUCGUAUUCUUCCUCUAUCGCUUAUAUUCAUUUAGGUUCAUCAUGUGGCUGAAAACUCAACUCUGAUUUCCACAAGUCCCGAUACUCGAAAAAUUCGAAAAGUAGCAGCCAUGGUAGCCCCCUUCCAUUAAAAUGAAGGAGAGAAGGAUUAAAGAAAAUUCGUUGCUGUGCAACUGUUGAAGCAGAGCUUCAUUGACUUGGUAAGCUCUUUAAGUUUAAAAGUCUUCAUAUUUAUUUGAUUGCGUUCUUUCUUUUCCCUUGAUGUUUGGAAUAUUAUUAGGGUUUGUUCAAAGAAUUUUGCUUUGGUUAGUGAAUUUAAAAAGAAAA